GACGAACGCUGGCGGCGUGGAUUAGGCAUGCAAGUCGAACGGUAUCAUCCUUUCGGGGGUGAGAGAGUGGCGAACUGGUGAGUAACACGUAGGUUAUCUACCCUCAAGACGGGGACAACCCAGGGAAACUUGGGCUAAUACCGGAUGUGAGCAACUUUUAGUUGUUUGAAAGGUGGCGUAAGCUGUCGCUUGGGGAUGAGCCUGCGUCCUAUUAGUUAGUUGGUGAGGUAACGGCUCACCUAGGCAAUGAUAGGUAGGCGGCCUUAACGGGUGGUCGCCCACACUGGGAUUGAGAUACGGCCCAGACUCCUACGGGAGGCAGCAGUCGAGAAUAGUCUACAAUGGUCGGAAGACUGAUAGUGCGACGCCGCGUGAACGAUGAAUCCCUUCGGGGUUAAAGUUCUUUUAUAUGUGAGCAGUGCUUCUUAUAUUAACAGUAUGGGGAAGAGAUAUUAGCAUAUGAAUAAGCAACGGCUAACUCGUGCCAGCAGCCCGGGUAA
rnacentral:rRNA from 1 species